CUCUAUCUUAGCUUAAUAAUAAUAGGAGAAAUUUUAGAUUUUAUUAUCUUAAUUUUUAUUUUUUAAAAAAUUAACGUAAAAUAGACGCUUGUUAUCUUAAUAAAUGAACUUUUGAUCAAGUAGUGAAUUUCAAAUCUCUCGGUUAAGAUGGCUCCAGUAUGAAUGAAUCUAUCCAUUUUUCUUGGUAUAUACAUAAUCAACUGUCUCUUCUUUUUUUUUUUUUUUUUUUUUUUUUUUAUUUUGUGUGUGUUUUGUUGUUUGAUGUUUUAUUGUGUUGAGUUAGAUAGUUUUUAUUUUUUUUUUUUUUUUUUUUUUUUUUUUUUUUUUUUUUUUUUUUUUUUUUUUUUUUUUUUUUUUUUUUUUUUUUUUUUUUGAAC
rnacentral:lncRNA from 1 species